rnacentral:rRNA from 1 species
GAUGAACGCUGGCGGCGUGCCUAAUACAUGCAAGUCGAGCGAGCAGAUGAGGAGCUUGCUCCUCUGACGUUAGCGGCGGACGGGUGAGUAACACGUGGAUAACCUACCUAUAAGACUGGGAUAACUUCGGGAAACCGGAGCUAAUACCGGAUAAUAUAUUGAACCGCAUGGUUCAAUAGUGAAAGACGGUUUUGCUGUCACUUAUAGAUGUAUCCGCGCCGCAUUAGCUAGUUGGUAAGGUAACGGCUUACCAAGGCAACGAUGCGUAGCCGACCUGAGAGGGUGAUCGGCCACACUGGAACUGAGACACGGUCCAGACUCCUACGGGAGGCAGCAGUAGGGAAUCUUCCGCAAUGGGCGAAAGCCUGACGGAGCAACGCCGCGUGAGUGAUGAAGGUCUUCGGAUCGUAAAACUCUGUUAUUAGGGAAGAACAAAUGUGUAAGUAACUAUGCACGUCUUGACGGUACCUAAUCAGAAAGCCACGGCUAACUACGUG